GCCAGGUGUGGUGGCACAUACCUGUAGUCUCAGCUACUAGGAGGCUGAGGCAGGAAGAUCACAAGUUUGAAGCCAACCUCUGAAACUUAGCAAGACUCUGCUUCAA
rnacentral:sRNA from 1 species